rnacentral:rRNA from 1 species
GACGAACGUUGGCGGCGUGCUUAAUACAUGCAAGUCAACUGAAGCAGUGGUAGCAAUAUCGCUGUGGAGGUGGCGCACGGGUGAGUAACACGUAGGUAAUCUGCCUUCAGGUCUGGCAUAACUCCGGGAAACCGGGGCUAAUAGCAGAUGAUGCAGCGGCUCGACAUCGAGACAGUUGUCAAAGCUAUGGCGCCUGAAGAUGAGCCUGCGUCUGAUUAGCUAGUUGGCGGGGUAACGGCCCACCAAGGCAACGAUCAGUAGCUGGUCUGAGAGGAUGAUCAGCAACACUGGAACUGAGACACGGCCCAGACUCCUACGGGAGGCAGCAGUAAGGAAUAUUGCUCAAUGGGAGAAAUCCUGAAGCAGCAACGCCGCGUGAGGGACGAAGGGCUUUUGCUUGUAAACCUCUGUAGUGAGAGAAAAAAAUCCCAAUCUUUGGGACAUGAUGGUAUCUCAAAAGUAAGCCCCGGCUAACUACGUG